UCCCAGAAGUGGGAUUGCUGGGUCAAAAGGUAGCUCCAUUUUCAGUUUUUUAUAGGAUAUUCCAUGUUGUUUUCUGCAGUGGUUGCACCUGUCUGCCAUCUCACCAACCAUGUACUAGGGUUCCCUUUUCUCCACAUGUUUUCCAACACUUGUUUGCUGUGUUGAUUUAUGAUGGCAUUCUGACUGGCAUGAAGUGGUAUUUCAUUGUGGUUUUAAUUUUCAUCUCUCUGAUAGCUAGUGAUGCUAAGCAUCCUUUCAUAUGUCUCUGGGCCCUCUGUAUGUCUUCCUUGGAGAAGUAUCUGUUCAGGUCCUUUGCCCAUUUUGCGGGGGCUGUUUGUCUUCUUGCACUCAUAUGAGCUCUUUAGACAUGUUAGAGAUCAAACCCUUGUCUGAGGUAUCAUUUGCAAAUAUAUUUUCCCAUAUGGUUGGUUUC